rnacentral:rRNA from 1 species
ACAGAGGGGGCAAGCGUUGUCCGGACUUACUGGGCGUAAAGCGCACGCAGGUGGCGGCGCAAGUGUUAUGUGAAAGCCCCGCGCUCAACGCGGGGAGGCCACGACAGACUGCGCGGCUCGAGGGAUGCAGAGGGUGGUGGAAUUGCCGGUGUAGUGGUGAAAUGCGUAGAGAUCGGCAGGAACACCAAGGCCGAAGGGAGCCACCUGGGCAUCGCCUGACACUCAUGUGCGACAGCGUGGGGAGCGAACCGGAUUAGAUACCCGGGUAGUCCACGCCGUAAACGAUGGAUGCUCGGCGUCCGUGGGGGAUACCCCGUGGGCGCCUCAGCUGACGCGGAAGCAUCCCGCCUGGGAACUACGAGCGCAAGCUUA